UACGGGGGGAGCGAGCGUUGUUCGGAUUUACUGGGCGUAAAGGGCGCGUAGGCGGCCACCGCAAGUCGGUUGUGAAAUCUCCGGGCUUAACCCGGAAAGGUCAAUCGAUACUGCGGGGCUAGAGUGCAGAAGGGGCAACUGGAAUUCUCGGUGUAGCGGUGAAAUGCGUAGAUAUCGGGAGGAACACCAGUGGCGAAGGCGACUACCUGGCCUGUUUCUUGACGCUGAGGCGCGAAAGCUAGGGGAGCAAACGGG
rnacentral:rRNA from 1 species